AGUGAACGCUGGCGGUAGGCCUAACACAUGCAAGUCGAACGGCAGCACAGUAAGAGCUUGCUCUUACGGGUGGCGAGUGGCGGACGGGUGAGGAAUACAUCGGAAUCUACUUUUUCGUGGGGGAUAACGUAGGGAAACUUACGCUAAUACCGCAUACGACCUACGGGUGAAAGCAGGGGAUCUUCGGACCUUGCGCGAUUGAAUGAGCCGAUGUCGGAUUAGCUAGUUGGCGGGGUAAAGGCCCACCAAGGCGACGAUCCGUAGCUGGUCUGAGAGGAUGAUCAGCCACACUGGAACUGAGACACGGUCCAGACUCCUACGGGAGGCAGCAGUGGGGAAUAUUGGACAAUGGGCGCAAGCCGGAUCCAGCCAUACCGCGUGGGUGGAGAAGGCCUUCGGGUUGUAAAGCCCUUUUGUUGGGAAAGAAAAGCAGCAGGUUAAUACACCGCUGUUCUGGCGGUACCCAAAGAAUAAGCACCGGCUAACUUCGUG
rnacentral:rRNA from 1 species